CUGACCGAGGUUUUCAUGUCCCAGAAUAUGGAGAAGAUUGAUUAUUUCUACCCCAAUUGCAAGGCAAAGUUUAAUUUUGAACUAUCAGACACUUAAAAGAGGCAGCCACAAAUUAAGUAUAUCUAAUAACAACAAUGGGCCAUUCGUGCUACCCAACAAGAUAACCGUUGUGUUUUGGUGUGGAAGGCACAUGCUUUCCGAGUCUCCACUUUUUGACCACUAGUCUUCCGAUAGCUUAGAUUUGCAGCAUGGGAGUUCUGAAAGUUCAAAUAUGAGAGAUGUUAGACAAGGUUCAAGCCCAGGUUCAAAAGUCACUAGGGGAGUAUGUGCAGCAUGCACUUCCAUACAACAAGAUUUUUCUAACCUAACGGUGGUUUUUCCUCCUAGAUCUUUGCACGCUGAGUAAUCGACCUCAGUCCGAGCUCUUCAGUUAGGCGGCAAUGUAGUAGUUUGUCCUCCAUGCUUGUUUGUAGGAGAUUGGUUUAAAGGCUUGUCCACAAAACUUAAUGUAAGAACUUAAAACUUGACUCACCUAGAACGUCUGUUGAGUCAAGCUAAGUUUAGUGACUAUGGUAUUUGUUCUGUUCCAUCUAAAUUUAGAAUCCAAGAAUCUGCUUUUCCCAAAAGAGAACUGCUGAAGUGAUCAUUUGCAUGAGGAGAGAUUGAGGAGUGAUCAUCUGCAAUUUCA